rnacentral:rRNA from 1 species
AGAGUUUGAUCCUGGCUCAGAUUGAACGCUGGCGGCAUGCUUUACACAUGCAAGUCGAACGGCAGCACGAGUGCUUGCACUUGGUGGCGAGUGGCGAACGGGUGAGUAAUACAUCGGAACGUGUCCUAAAGAGGGGGAUAACGCAUCGAAAGAUGUGCUAAUACCGCAUAAUCUCUUUGGAGAAAAGUAGGGGAUCGAAAGACCUUGCGCUUUUGGAGCGGCCGAUGUCUGAUUAGCUAGUUGGUGAGGUAAAUGCUUACCAAGGCAACGAUCAGUAGUUGGUCUGAGAGGAUGACCAACCACACUGGGACUGAGACACGGCCCAGACUCCUACGGGAGGCAGCAGUGGGGAAUUUUGGACAAUGGGGGAAACCCUGAUCCAGCAAUGCCGCGUGAGUGAAGAAGGCCUUCGGGUUGUAAAGCUCUUUCAGUUGAGAAGAAAAGAUUGUGACUAAUAAUCAUAAUUAAUGACGGUAUCAACAGAAGAAGCACCGGCUAACUACGUGCCAGCAGCCGCGGUAAUACGUAGGGUGCGAGCGUUAAUCGGAAUUACUGGGCGUAAAGGGUGCGCAGGCGGUUAUGUAAGUCAGAUGUGAAAUCCCCGGGC